CCAACCUUCCGUACACUCAGGGAUAGCCUUUCGAAAGAAAGAUUAAUACCUGAUGGUAUGAUGAGAUUGCAUGAUAGCAUCAUUAAAGAUUUAUCGGUGUACGAUGGGGAUGCGUUCCAUUAGGUAGUAGGCGGGGUAACGGCCCACCUAGCCAACGAUGGAUAGGGGGUCUGAGAGGAAGGUCCCCCACAUUGGAACUGAGACACGGUCCAAACUCCUACGGGAGGCAGCAGUGAGGAAUAUUGGUCAAUGGACGAGAGUCUGAACCAGCCAAGUAGCGUGAAGGAUGAAGGUCCUACGGAUUGUAAACUUCUUUUAUAAGGGAAUAAACCCUCCCACGUGUGGGAGCUUGUAUGUACCAUAUGAAUAAGGAUCGGCUAACUCCGUGCCAGCAGCCGCGGUAAUACGGAGGAUCCGAGCGUUAUCCGGAUUUAUUGGGUUUAAAGGGAGCGUAGGCGGAUUGUUAAGUCAGUUGUGAAAGUUUGCGGCUCAACCGUAAAAUUGCAGUUGAUACUGGCAGUCUUGAGUGCAGUAGAGGUGGGCGGAAUUCGUGGUGUAGCGGUGAAAUGCUUAGAUAUCACGAAGAACUCCGAUUGCGAAGGCAGCUCACUGGAGUGUAACUGA
rnacentral:rRNA from 1 species